ACUUUCGUCUGGUUUCGUUAAGUAAUUUCAAGAAAGCGCGAGAAAGUCAAAGACAAAGAUCAAGAUUUAUAUUGUUAUAGAUAUAUUCGGUUUUGUUAACCGUCAUACUUCAUGCUGUUUAGCGAUUUGAGGCUUGAGCCAGACAUCAUAACCACACAAUAUGCAAGUUUAUAUUGUGCAGGUGUUAACCUGCCAUCAUCAGCAACAAUCUCAGGAUCAUUGCUUCGAUACACAGCAUCCCAUUGCAUUGGAGAAACUACCGAUGUCAAUCGAGUUACGGAUCUCUCUUUUUCCCCUUUCUUUCAAUGUCCUCUUCGUGUACGCCCCAUGUGAAUGUGGGUGUAUUCACGAGGACACCCUUUUUCUGUCCCACCCUUUAUCCCGUCUGGUGGAAUUGAACUCUUCAGCGGAUGGAUGGAGCAACUGUGGAUGCCUGGCUGUAAUUCCCAGGCAUAACGGUAGGACAAAAUUGAUCUCUAUUCUUCUUUUUUGGCAAUUUUGGGUGGCUUUGCUUAUAAAUCGUUACGUAGUC